UACGUAGGGUGCGAGCGUUGCCCGGAUUUAUUGGGCGUAAAGGGCGCGUAGGCGGUCACGCACGUCCGUUGUGAAAUCGCUCGGCUCAACUGGGCGGGGUCAGCGGAUACGGCGUGGCUGGAGCAAGCUAGGGGGCAAUGGAAUUCCCGGUGUAGUGGUGGAAUGCGUAGAUAUCAGGAGGAACACCGGUGGCGAAGGCGGAUCUCUGGGCCAUUACUGACGCUGAGGAGCGAAAGCGUGGGGAGCGAACAGG
rnacentral:rRNA from 1 species